UUUGCAAAGUCGGUCUGCCUUCGCACCGUAUGCGCUCUGUGAUGAAGGAAGAAAAUUUCACAUUUUCCCUCUUCAUUUCUUUCCAUUGACGAGACGAAGGAAGAAAAUAUUUGGGACAUUAAUCUCCGCCCUCCCACUCGAUUGGUGACAACGAGAAAUUCCCAGACGUUAAUUUUUUUUUAAAAGAAAAAGCAAAUAUCUCAACAUCUUAAUCCAGUCUUCCUCCCACACGAUCGGCGAUGAAAAUAGAAGAAAAAGAGGGUUAAAUUCUUCAAAACCCAUAAUCUUAAUUUAAUUUUAAGUUGAACCCAGUUCUUGAAGCAUUUGGAAAUGUGAAAACCAUCAAAAACAACUCUAGGUAACGGAGUUUUCAUAUUUUGAGAUGGAGGGUAACAAGGUAACCUUUAUAUGACACGGAGUGCAAAAAAACUCAUUGCCAGUUGAAUUUGUGACUUUUUCAUGUGGAGUUAUCACCCACUUCGUUGUAUCUUGAAUUUGAUGGCUUGGUAGAUGAAGGCAAAUUUAGUUCUUUUCCUAUUGGUUUCAUUUUCACUGCA